rnacentral:lncRNA from 1 species
GAGAUGUCAGCCAGUAGGUUGUGGCAGCCUGUCAGAAGUGACUGGAGACCUUUGUUGGAUGAAUAAAGCCUAUCCACUCCCUGUUCAACCUGACAACAACACAGAAGGCAUGGGGCACCCAGUCACAGUCCUGCUGCUCAUCUUUCAAACUGCAGGAGAUGAAUAGCAAUGUCACCCCAGGACACACCACCCUGGAGGCACUGCCAGGAGAGUCAUGGCAACAUCUCAGCAGGUGGUUUUCAGAAAUCCUCAGACCAAAGCAAACACUGCCACAGAAAAAUGUUGCAAUUCAACCCAGCUUUGAGGGAAGUGCCCCUGAUAACUUCUCAGCUCCAAAGAGAAGCAGUGGAGGCUGGGGCCACCGAGUCUCCAUGGAAAUCACAGAGGGUCUCACCGAGUCCAACCCAAAGGAGAGGAGCGGGUUUGAGCUGUGUUUGCAUAUCUGGCCAGGAAGAGAGGACUCAUGUCUGCCACAAAGGUCUCAGUGUGGUUUGUGCUGAAGUGGGAUCCCACAUCUGGGAUCUACCCAAGAGCUACAUCAUCCUCUCUUAGAGAUAGGAAAGCUUCAUAAAGGGAAGACUUUGAAUCAGGAGUCCGCUGUGCAUUGCAACAUUUAUCGCCGUGAUUCACGUACCUCCAGUGUUACUGCAAAUCCGGGCAAAGUGUGAAAUGAUUCUCUCUCUUAUCUUUGAGGAAAUGCAACAUGCUCCAACCAUGCUGACUCUGAAAGUCAGCUCUACGCUGCUUUGGGCCACAGAAAUUGUCAGGAUUUUUGAAAAAGCUCAACAAACCUCAACACCACAAUCGCGCCAAUUAUUUUUGAAGUGAUUUGGGAACAACUCAGGGUUUUUUCUUUUCGCCUUAUGCAGCUACAUAGACCCCCUUGGAGUUCUGCAGGUACAUACCAACUUAUGAAGGAGCUGGAGGCACUAAGAGAGCUGGAACAUGAUGAAUAACUGUCAAAUUACAGGGAACACUUUAAAAUGUCUUAAACCUCUCCCCUGCCCUGCUUCAUCGUGGCAACUAGGCCAUGAGCCUUUAGCUAGGCUGUCUUUCCCUGAGGCUGUCCUUUCACUUGGGACAGGAGAUGAUCUGAAACCAUGGACAAGGGGUUCAGAAUCUUCAUGACAAAAUCAUGACAUGGAAUAGAAAGAGAGACUGGGUGAGCUGCAGCACAGGGGAUCAUGCAUGUGCCAGCACCAGAGUCUUCAGACUUUGAUCAUACCCACAGCUUGACUGCCAGAUAAACCACCUGCUUUUGUAUUCACAAUUGCAAAAUGGCUCUGCAGCAUCUCUAGCAAUUGCUCAGAGAAGAAAGAAAUACUUUUCUUGCAUUCUUAGCAUAGCAGGUGUUUUUAGAAAUUAAAGGAUUAAAGAGAUGAAUUCUGCAUUUAAUUUUGGCCCUUUGCAAUAUCCCUGCUCUGUGUCUGAAAUGUUUUCUUCGCCAAAGAGACAAGCAGAAGUAGUCAGCUCUUUACAGACAGUGUUUUUAGGUUAAUCAAUGUUAAGGUUGUUUUCUUAUACACAUUUCAGUACUGUUUUUUAUUUUAGAUAGCUGGGGGUACUUUGUUGCCCUGCUGUAUUUAGCAGAAAAACUUAAGAAGUUUGUUUCUCACUCCUGUUUGCCAUGGAGGCCUCAAUCCCAGAGAAAAUAGUAAAAGACACUCAGUUAAUCAAAGGUUAAACAAAAUGAAUGAAGUUUGUAUGGUGCCCUGAAGGUUAUUAGACUCAAGGUCUGAGCAGCUGCCAAGGGGAGUGAGUUCCAGGGCAGGAGCAUUCAUCUGAGAAAUUCCAGUUGCUGGACGUGGAGGGGUUGAACCUGGGAGCUGCAGGCGCCUCCCAGCUGAGCUCGGCUGCCACGGCUGCCAUGUGGGGAAGGACCCCUGUCCCCUCCCACACUCCUGGUCCAGAGAGCAAAUGGAUGGGAAGGCACACCCCACUCUGUGGGAGGGAAAUAGGGACUUGUCAAUUGUUCCAGAGGCCUGGCUGUUUCCCUUACCAGCUGUGGAGUGAGCAGGGAGCUCUAAAAUCCAAAGACAGGCAAUUCCUGGGCGUCAGGGCUGAUAAAAGGGCUCAUGGAGCCCGCUACAAGGCACGUCUGGAAGUGGCACGGAGUCAAGGGGUGCAGCAAGCAAUGCAGCGUGACCAGUGGUCAGCUUUGUGUCCUCUGAGCUGCUCUCCAUCCACAAAUGUCUUUGCCUCCCUAUCAGAGUGAUGCUCUGGAGUGGCAGCUGGUUUAUCUUCCACUUCAGCCCAAUGUGGAGGUGGAAUUGAAAUCACAGGGUAUGGAUGCAAGAUGGAAACAGACAGGCAAAGUGUUGUCACAUCCUUUCAACUUCCAAGUGCCUCUUUCUGUGAUAUAGAAGAAUUUUGACUGAAUAAAGUCAUUAAGUGAAAACUAUAAAAGCA